UGUUGACCUCGGAUCAGGUAGGAAUACCCGCUGAACUUAAACAUAUCAAUAAGGCGGAGGAACAAGGGCUUGGUCAU
rnacentral:rRNA from 1 species